rnacentral:pre_miRNA from 1 species
UCAUUCGGAUUCGCCAUCAUACGUCCAACCGUGCAUUUGAUAUGCAUAUAUAUAUGCAUGACGAGCCACGGUUGGGCUGUAUGAUGGCGAUGUCGAUUGA